ACCGCCGCCAUCUUGAGAAGGUGCGGUCGCCAUCUUGGGAAGGCUCUGCCGCCAUCUUGGGGCAGCGCCGUGGCCCCGCCCCGAGGUGUGCUCCUGCCCCUGCGACCCGGCCUGGAAAAGCUCCAUCACCUCCUGCCCCUCGUCCCAGAGCCUCAGAGACGUCAGGGACCCCGGUGCCUCAGCGAUAAAAGGCCACGAAAAUAGGAAGUGCACAGAACAACACCAUUUUUCACAUGAAUAAAUGGAAAUAAUCUUUGCAGCCAUGGAUGCUUCUUAAUAUUACUUGAAAGUAAAGUCUCACACAAGGCUUCUAGUCUAUAAAGAAGCAAUUCUGCACCACGUCUCUUGGCAGUUGUCGGUGGCACAGACACACCCACAGCUCAGGUCACAACACGGGAAGAGGAGGAGGAGGAGGAGGAAGAGAGAGAAAGACAGAACUAAAAACCCUUGAAGGAUGGCUCUCCAAAAUUCCUGGCGGAACCACGGGGAAUCCCUGGGAGCGCGGGAGCAGAGCUACUUUCUGGAUUUAUCCUGAACAAGAAGUGGAAUUACUGAAUUAA
rnacentral:lncRNA from 1 species